rnacentral:misc_RNA from 1 species
AUAUGUUCAAGACGCACUUCAUAUAAACGAAAUGUUGAUUAUUGUAGAAAACUGCAUCAUUGGCUAAAUAAAUUAAGAAAAUGUUAUAAAAUACCACGGAAAAUGGAGGAGCAAAAGAGUGAAACUUUAGACCUCUCGAGGCGUGGGUUGAAGAAAAUAGAGAAAGCGCCUCCUGAAGACGCCAAGUCAAUCAUCAACCUGGUCCUCGAUCAGAAUGAACUGCAGAGACUCGACAACAUCGAUACUUACAACCGGGUGGAAAACCUGUCGAUAUGCAACAACUUCUUGCUCCGAAUGCACGGAGUCUCCCGGUUGACUAACAUCAGAGUCCUGGCCCUCAACAACAAUGGGAUCCUACAGAUUGAGGGUCUGAAGGACCUGAUAUAUCUUAAAGUCUUGAAACUGGCUGGCAAUAAUAUCAAGUCAAUAGAGCAUCUGAACCACAACAUGCAUCUGGAACAAUUAGAUCUGUCCAACAAUCAAAUCUCAUUUAUAGCUGAUAUAUCUUACUUGAAAACUUUAAAGCACCUAAAUCUAGAACGCAACCGUAUCAUAGACUUGAGACAAUGCGAUCGCUACUUGCCUCCGAGCUUGGAGAAUUUCGGGCUCGCUCACAAUAACAUCCAGGACUUGAACGAGGUGUCACAUCUAGUGCACCUGUCCAAACUCGACAGCUUCACCAUACAGGGGAACCCGUGUGUCGCCAUGGCUGGGAAAGAUAAGCUGGGAUUUGACUACCGCCCUUUUGUUCUCAAUUGGAUUAUGAGCGUCAAAUCUAUCGACGGAUUCGUCGUGAGUGCAAUAGAAAGCCUAAAAGCAGAAUGGCUGUACAGCCAAGGAAAAGGCCGUCACUACCAUGCGGGCCAACAUCAGGAACUGUGCGAGUACUUAGCCUCCACUUGUCCUCUUACCGCCGACGCGCUGGAGACAGAGGACCAGAGGAAACUACGCAUGAUACUGAGCAAGGCACAGCACCACCAACAGCAGUUGAAGGACCAGACUCAUAGUCCACGCCCGAAGAUGCAGUCGCCUCGGAUGCAAUCGCGCAUCGGCACCCCGCGGCACAUGGGCCGAUCACCCGACCGCCUCACAUCGAGCUAUCACUCCUCGAUCAGCAAGACCAACUCUCCGCAGAUGUCUAUGUCUUGUUCUGGGGAUAUCGGCGGUCUACCAGCUCCUAUGAGCCAAAGCUUCGACUCUCCAGGGCUUAUGUAUUCAAUGGAGAAAAGGGAUAGUUUGAAGGAUAAACCUCAAGAAUCGCCACCACCUCCAUCAAGACCAGUGAACCACUCCUUAGAAGCGGCAUCUAAAAUGGUUCCCGUACCAGAAUCUCUGAUGAGCCCGGAUUACCAGGACCCCAUAUACGACAUCCAAAGAAGCAUACCAAAGCCAAACAACAGCAUUUCAUCGCAGUCAAGCAAUAGCAGCAUUCAAGAAGAGAGAGAGAGACCACGACAGAGUUCAAUCAGCAAACGAAUAGGCUCGCCGAAAUUAACGAAAAGCGCCACUUCUUCGCCGAAGUUAAAGUCCAAAAUGGAACAACGAAAAGGCAGUUUGAGUUUGACGAACGCGAAAAACGAAGAACGGAAGGUAAAUGGAGUUGUAAAGAACGAAGAGAAAGACCAGAUAGACCAUGAUAAGUUGGAGAUAAUUAAACUGGCGUCGAAUCAGAGGCGCCAGAGGAAGAUGAGUGCUGAAUCGAGUGCGGCGAUAACCAUACAGAAGAUGUGGAGAGGAUAUAGGAGUCGGAAUCUAAACAAAGAUACGUUGAGGAUCUUACACGCAAUACAAGCGGCGCGGGCGCGGCAGCAUAUACAAAGAUUGACAUGCGACAUGGAGGCGACAAAGGCGGCGUUAGAAAGCGAGCGCAAGAUACAGCAGCUUCAGAUGCAGGCCAUCAACGCGCUCUGGAAGAAGGUCUCUACUCUGCAGACUGCAGAUUCGCAGAAACAAAAGGGUGUUGAGCCGGAGGACAAUACGGAGGUAUUGCGACAACUUACCGAAACAUGCUUCAGUUUACAAGCACAGGUGGUGGAGCUGCAGGGCUGCAUGCAGGAGGUGCUGAAGGCAGUGUCAGGCAAACAACGCGCCGAGCCCGUCGCCACGCAAACGGACAUCGUUGCUGUCAACACGCCACAGGAGGAGCGCUGCGGCUGGCUGAAGCGGCCGCAGUCGCUGCCGCUGGACGUGGCCACGCCGCCCGCGCCGGCGCCUGCGCACUGCGAGCGCGCCCGGCGCCCUGACUCGCCGCCGCCGGAUGUUGAUGUACAGCUCGAAAAACAAAACGACUUGGAAUCGUUAGACAUUGAGCGCACAGAAUCGGUGAUAGCAGAUAACGAAGGUAACGACGGCGUCAUAGAGCAGCGAAACCAAAGUGUCAUCGUCGAAUGAUGACUGGUAGAUCUAGUUAUAAUAAUCUAUAGUUCAUAUAGGCGGGGCUUGAUGACGGCGCAUUUAUAUUUAAAUAUUUUUAUAACUAAAGACAGUUAUACUUUUGUUUAAUUAUAUAUUUUGUAAAGGUUAACAUUUGACGAAACACUUACGUAGAUUCACGUGUAAUCCUUGCUUAGUCGACAGGGUCUCAAGUUGUUAAGACAAUAAUUUGCAAUCACUCUUAGUAUUGACGUUAUUGGAUAAUUCAUAAGAUAAAUGUUUAGGUCACAACCUGUUAAGGUAAUUAACACAUUUAUAUCAAUAAUAUAAUUUAAAAUCGAUUCCUUGGUUGACUUCGACUACGAUAGGCCCGUAGUGAUAAGCAUAAGUGCACAUCAUGAGAGAUGCAAACGCGUGAGUGUGAGCGAGACAGACAAUGACAAACACCCCCCCCCCCCCCUUGAGCAGCGUGCGGUCAUUUACGACUAAAGUAAGACCCAAAGGGGGUGAUGUCGGCGCAUACGAAUUGUUGCGGGGCGAAGAGUCACCGUUCUAUACGAAGUAUUAUUAAUAAUUCUAUGUCUUUGACAAAGAUCAUUUAACUGCAUACUUAUUUAGUUAUUUAAAUAUAAAUGCGCAGAAUAUUGUGGACCGAUAGUUCCAUGGCAAAGAAACGCUAAAGCAAAGCUUAGGAUUGUCAAGUGGCUUAGAUUACGGUGUGGUAAAGCUAUAUUAAUUGAAGUUAUAUAAUUUUAUUCUAAUGUUAUAAUUUUAACACAAAGUGACUAAUUCGUUCGCAAACGGUUUUCACACCAUUGCUGCAUUUAAUGAGAAAGUGUUAUCGAUCGAUCGUAAUACUUUACAUCUUGUAAAGUUUUAUAAGUUAUAUUUACAUACUUAUGUACAUCAACCCUCUGAUAUGAUUUAUUAAAUUCUAUAUUUAAUAAUACGAUCAAAAUGUUGUCGAUUACGAAGUCACAAAGUAAAUAGAUCCAAAUUGUAUAUGUACUGAAAUAGAUUUAUUUAGUAGCCGAAUCUUGACCUAUAUGGUAUUUAAAACGAUUAAAAUAUCGUGAAAAAAUCUUAAAAGUUUUUGCGCGAUGGUUAUGCAUGCGAAAUUCAUGACAUUAGUUUGUAAGUUAAUCUGUUUUAAACAGUACCUACUCUUAUUGUAAAACCUGGUUUAACAUUUUUAGCUGGCACCUAAACAAACACUGUAAACCGCUUAAAUCUUAGCAUGAAGAGAUUUUCAUCAAGACAGAAAUAUCCUACUUCUACCUAGCGGGAUAGAGACGAGAGAUAUGUCUCUUUCGCACCAACGGUAUACAGCUUAGUACGAAAGAGACGAGAGAUAAUUGGGUAGUUUCCUAGGUCAAAGAUAAAUUACGAAAUUCUGAUUACUGAAUAAACACAGAUCUAAAGGUGACAAAAAAUGUUUUCUAUUUAACUUAUUUAAGAAUUUUAAUUAAAAGAAAUGUAAUAAUAAGUGCGACAUUUUGUCACUUUUUCCAUGACAUCUCAGGUUGCUUUUUCAAACAAAUUCCAUAAUAAUUUCGUGUUUUGACUUUUAGUAAAUAGUAACUGAUUUGAUUAGUUGGAAACUAUUGAAUUUAAUCAUGCUACGUUGUCUAAGCUAGAUUUUAAGUAUUUCUUUAUCUUUAUAAAUCCAGUGAUGACUAAACAAGGUUUUACAACAAGUCAUUUAUUGUUAAUAUAAGCAAAUCGUCACAAACUGCGGUUGUUAUUCUGGAACGAAAUGUAAUCUUAAUGUCUGCUUUUAUUCAUAAAUUCAUAAUUCAUUACAUUGAUAACGUUCGUGCAUUGUACCGUUCAGACUACGGUUUUGGCCGACUAGUCGGCCUAAGAAAGUCGAUUGAUUAGUCGGCCCUAGCCAAUACUUUGAAAGAGCCGUUUCCGAAGUUGGAAAUGUACAACAGCUAUUUACUAUUGUAAUUCACAAAAAUGGUUAGCAAAGAUUUUUGACACAUACUUACAGCAAUAAAUAUUUAUUGCGAGGUGGAUAUAUUUCUUAUUCUUUCGUGAUGAUUAUUCUUAUAAUAUGAUUAUAUUUUACCGAGUUCUUAUUUCAAGAAUUUUCUGCAUUUUGAAGCUAACGUAUUCCAUGUCGACUAGUCGGCCUAUCUUUAAAUAAUAUUAAUUUUUACUAUGAGAGCGUAUAGAAUUGUAUUCGUUCGUAUGUGUACGCACAAAACGAAUUCGUACUGUAACGCAUUUUAACGGACAAACACCAUACAAUGCACAAACGUUACAUUUAAUUUUAAACGCACUAAAUUCACUGCCAUUAUGCUAAUUAAUUAUACUGGACAAUGUUUUGUACAUUUGUAUAACGUACCUGCUGUGACAUUGGCGCGAUGUACACGAAAUAUAUUUAUAGUUUAAAAAGGAUAGGCUUAUCUGCGGCUGAAGUCGAAGAGUAACUACUUUUUUUUUUAAUUGUAUUUAAUACUUAAGGUCGGGGAAUGCCACAACAAAGUUGAAUACAAAAAAAUAUAAAUACUAACAUCCCCUACUCUCUUUUGCCGCAGAGAAAGUCGUUAUUAUUAUAAAAAAUCUUUAAAAUAAGGCAGUAUUAAUUGAUAAAGGCUAAAAUGCUAAGACGUGUGGUGCGUUCGUCUAACUCUAGAAUUAGAAUUGUGGAUAUAAGAAAAGGAAUUGGUAUUAAAAUGGAAAAUUCAAAGCUAUGAAUGUUAAUAUUUUUGCGAUAUAUUUGUCCUGUGGUUUUUGUUUUAAUCUAUGUUUUAUGUCACAUUCCAACAAAUUGGAACUUCAUGCAUUUAUUUUAAUAUUUUUAAAAGUUAUAAAGUACACUUUGUAAUAAAAGCACUAAUAGAUAAAAAUAUUUUUGAAAUGUUUUAGAUUUAUUACGAUGCAAUGCAGGAACACUAUGCCUUUUCUAUUUUUAAUGAGCUUGAUUUUGAGCUAUUUAUUUGUAUAGCAAAUAAGAAUCUCGCAGAUUUACUUUCUUGUUAUUUUUUAACUGAACUUUUUUAAAACAAUAUCAAAAUUUUCACAAAAUAUAAAAUUGCCAUCUAAUUUUUUUACAUUGGAGCAGCCAUCUUGUAUUUUAACAAUCACCAUGACGUCUCAUUUGUCUCAAAUACUUUUUAUUUUUUAGGCCGGACGCUUUUUGGUACAGAUUAGCCCCGCAUAUAAUACUGAUCUACGAUGGACACUCGAACCCAGUGUGUGCGCUUAAGUACUUGAAAGGUCAGGAUUGUUCUUGCGUGUUCGUCUGAACGCAUGACUCGAAUUUGUACGAAAACGUGUCCAAACUGCGACCGGCCUUAUUGUUUUAACCUUGGAUAAGUUCAUUCGCUCUAAUAAUUUCCACUAGUCAUUUUUAACUUUCGUAUAAUGUCGCUGGCAACGAUUUUAUUUUUACAGCUAUGAUUAUUUUUAAGAUUUUACGUCUGAUUAAUGUUAUUGGUAGCUUGCUUUUAAAUUAGUUUUUAUUUCAAAUAUUUGCACUAUACACUGAAUUUUAAAAAUGGGUCUGCGAUACCUUGUCUUUAUCUUGUGAUGUUAUAUAACCAAUCAUAGAACAGCUUGAAGAUGCGAAUAAUGUUGUAAGCUAUAAUGGUGAUGGCAUAAAAUAAUAACUUAACUAGUAUUAUAGAUGUUGUUUAUACUAUGUAAUAAUGUGCAAUUUGGAGGCCCUGUGCAUCGAUUUUAUACUGCAUACAUAUACAUUUUACUAGUAUAAAACGUUAAAUGUUACAGAUGGAAAGAAACAAACCCAUUUUAUCAUACUAGUGUUGCCAAUAAUCUGCGAAAACAGCUCCCGUAUUUAAUUUCUACUUCUGUUUUGAGAAAUAUGCCUUUCAAAAACGUCUGUUUGUCUAAAGAGCCUUUUAGUUCUUAACAGAUAUGUACAAGUAAAUCGGUGCACGGUCAGCCUCUAUAUUUCCAAAGACACUUGCCGUCCUCUCUUCAAUUUCAUUACCCACCUUAUUUGUUAUGUUAGAGUCUGUAUUUAUUGUGUUUUAUAAAACCAUUUUGAAACUA